GACGAACGCUGGCGGCGUGCUUAACACAUGCAAGUCGAACGCUGAACCCGCUUCGGUGGGGGAUGAGUGGCGAACGGGUGAGUAACACGUGGGCAACCUGCCCCCGGCUCUGGGAUAACUCCAAGAAAUUGGGGCUAAUACCGGAUGUGACCGCUGGCCGCAUGGUCUGGUGGUGGAAAGGGUUUCCGGCUGGGGAUGGGCCCGCGGCCUAUCAGCUUGUUGGUGGGGUAGUGGCCUACCAAGGCGACGACGGGUAGCCGGCCUGAGAGGGUGACCGGCCACACUGGGACUGAGACACGGCCCAGACUCCUACGGAAGGCAGCAGUGGGGAAUAUUGCGCAAGGGGCGGAAGCCUGACGCAGCGACGCCGCGUGGGGGAUGACGGCCUUCGGGUUGUAAACCUCUUUCAGCAGGGACGAAGCGCAAGUGACGGUACCUGCAGAAGAAGCACCGGCCAACUACGUG
rnacentral:rRNA from 1 species